UAAACACACCCACACGCACGCACCAGCUCUCCCGGGUACUCGGUGCCGUUUUUCGUUCCCCCCCUCCCCCGCCGUGUCCGAGAGAGGGCGCACAACCGUCUUCAGCAGGUCACGUGUUGGGAUUGACGGCCACACACGCACGUAGGCGUCUUUACUCGUGUGUGCGUGUGAAUACUGCAGGACGUUGAUUGCAUUGAAAAAUAGCGCGCGCCUGAUUUGUGCACGGCGGCGGACAGGGGGCGAGCAGCGCAAAGUCGCGCCUCGACGAGUCCCUGCCGGCGCCCCCUCCACCCUCCUCCUCCUUAUUCAGUCCCGCUUGUCGGUGCUCUAAUCUCAGCGAAUGCAGUUUGUGUUUGUUGUCAAGGGCCAGAGCUCGAGGGUGCCGCAGGCGCUGCCCCCCGACCGACUCUUUAUCGCAGCAUCUCGAGAGACGGCCCACCGCUCUCGCCAUGUGCGGGCCUGGGGAGCAAAGAAAUACAGCGCUGUCGUCCCCGCGGCAGGCGCGCCGCUGCAGAUAUCGGGCUCUCGACUGAGAGAUCUCUGCUGGAGGGAGUCGCCUCUGUCCUCCACACUGUCGCUGGAAAAGGACGAUCUCACGUUUAACUGCGUGAUGGUGCAGACAUCAUACGCUGGUCGUGCCGCCGACGCAGAUCAUGAGCCGGUGCCGCUGCGCGUGAUCGCCGCUGACGCUCUCGAGCACUUCUUCUUCAACGUCAACGAGGAUCUCUUGCAAGAUGGUCACCUGGUUGUCUUCACGUAUGCAGAGAAUCUCCUGCACGUGGGUAUCGACGCUGACAUUUGGGCAGAGGCCCGAGUGGCGGCGCCCGGGGCCCGCACAGGCGUCGCUGUCGGUGCUGACGGUGGCACUGGGGACUGUGGCAAUGCCGGCGGCCGUGCAGCUGAGGGAGCCGCCAAAGAGGGCCCUUCUCUCAACACUGACGGCGCCGCCGAAUCGGAGUUCGCCAGACGGCGGCGCCGUGUCGACCUUAUGUGGGGUGAGGAAGAACCCGGUCGGUCGUCCCGCCGCCUCGACUCGCCUCACUCACUGCUGAAUAAGGAAGGGGUGUUGGCUGUCGUGCCGUCUGCUGUGAGCGGCGACGACAUCAAGGAGCUGAAUGAGCUCAUCGACGAAGGCAAAUUGGCGAACCUCGACGCGAGGCUGACGGACUUCUUCUGUUGUCAGUGCUAUCAUCUGCCGCUGCUGACGCUCACCAUGUCGUGCUGUGGGGCGGUGCUAUGUCAGUGCUGCGCACCGACGCCGCCGACGGUGGAAGGAGUGUCAGCGGCGGAUCACGCGUGUCCCGUCUGCGGGGAAGAGCCACUGGAUCCCCCGCUAAGCCACUUGGAGCGUGAUGUGAAGGUGGCCAAACUGGUAAAGGAGCUGAAGGUGCUCUACUUGCCUCAGCUGCACGCACUUCGUGACUCACGACAGGCCUCGGCGGAACCGACGAAGCCUUCACCGCCGCCUUUUCUGCUGCCCAACACACCGGUUCUUGGAUCGCCGCGUUGAGCACGAGUCGGCUGGAGUUGUCGCGGAAGGGGAGCUCGGCAUAUAGGCCAACUUAUACACAGACGUAUCAUUGCUGCGGGUAGACAUAAACAGGAGUCAGCCCUUUUUUCUACAGGUGCAUCCCGUGCGGCAGAGUCU
rnacentral:misc_RNA from 1 species